rnacentral:rRNA from 1 species
GACGUAGGGGGCGAGCGUUGUCCGGAUUUAUUGGGCGUAAAGCGCGCGUAGGCGGUCCGGUAAGUCGGGUGUGAAAAUCCGGGGCUCAACCCCGGACCUGCAUUCGAUACUGCCGGGCUGGAGGCAGGUAGGGGAGAGUGGAAUUCCUGGUGUAGCGGUGAAAUGCGCAGAUAUCAGGAGGAACACCAAUGGCGAAGGCAGCUCGCUGGGACGUGACUGACGCUGAGACGCGAAAGCGUGGGGAGCAAACAGG